ensembl:snoRNA
AGCCUCAUUCUUGAUUACAAUGGGCACUGUUGACUGGUGUCCCAAAUUGGGCACUGUGGCUUAAACUGAUACAAAGAUCAUGCUUCCACCACAGUAAACAACUAACAGUGGUGACAAAGAGACCUAUAACGUUU